rnacentral:rRNA from 1 species
ACUCCUACGGGAGGCAGCAGUGGGGAAUAUUGCACAAUGGGCGCAAGCCUGAUGCAGCCAUGCCGCGUGUAUGAAGAAGGCCUUCGGGUUGUAAAGUACUUUCAGCAGUGAGGAAGGUGGGUAUGUUAAUAGCAUAUUCAUUUGACGUUAGCUGCAGAAGAAGCACCGGCUAACUCCGUGCCAGCAGCCGCGGUAAUACGGAGGGUGCGAGCGUUAAUCGGAAUUACUGGGCGUAAAGCGCAUGCAGGUGGUUUGUUAAGUCAGAUGUGAAAGCCCGGGGCUCAACCUCGGAAUUGCAUUUGAAACUGGCAAACUAGAGUACUGUAGAGGGGGGUAGAAUUUCAGGUGUAGCGGUGAAAUGCGUAGAGAUCUGAAGGAAUACCGGUGGCGAAGGCGGCCCCCUGGACAGAUACUGACACUCAGAUGCGAAAGCGUGGGGAGCGAAACAGGAUUAGAUACCCUGGUAGCGUAG